CCAACUGGCCUCCCCCCACCUGCUGAGCUACAGGCGUAUGGAUUUGAAAAAUAAGUUUUUGUUUUUCUGAUGAGAAUAAUCCAUGUUGAUUAUUUAAAAUUUGGAAAAACAUAGAAACUGACACAGAAGAACGAAAACCACUUGUUAUCAUGCCUCCCAGAGCCAAUCUUUGUUGAGUCAUAAUGGACACACAGCAUGGUGACUGUAUGCACGUUGUGAAAAUGUCACCACACCAGGACAGUUAGCACCUCCACACCUCGCAUCAUGGUGGUGCCGUGACACGCAGGAUCCGCCCUCUCAGUGCCCUUCUGGUCUGUAGCACAGUGGCAUUUUCUUUUUCUUAAUGUCGGCUAUUAUUUUUUUUUUAAUGUUUUUAACGUUUGUUUAUUUUUGAGACAGAGAGCAUGAACGGGGGAGGGGCAGAGAGACAGGGAGACACAGAAUCAGAAGCAGGCUCCAGGCUCCAAGCUGUCAGCACAGAGCCUGACGCGGGACUCGAACUCACGGACUGUGAGAUCGUGACCUGAGCUGAAGUUGGACUGAGCCAACUGAGCCACCCAGGCUCCCCGGCUAUUAUUUUUUUUAAGUUUGUUUAUUUUGAGAGGGAGAGACAGCAUGAGCAGGGGAGGGGCAGAGAGAGAGGGAGGGAGAGAGAGAAGCCCAAGCAGGCUCCUCCCUGUCAUCGUAGAGCUGGAUACGGGGCGAGGACCCACAGACUGUGAGAUCGUGACCCGAGCCGAGGUCGGACGCCCAACCGACUGAGUCACCCAGGCAUCCCUAUAACACGGCGGUAUUAAUUUUAGUCACCAGACUGUGCCUUAGAUCCCGGGACUUACUCAUUUCAGCCCUGCAAGUGUGUACAAUGUGGCGAUUCAACGUUUCCUUACGUGGCCCCGGUGCUGAUCACGGGUGAGUGUAACAGGUGUGGAUCCACACGUAAGUGAGCGCAUUGAGUCUGUCUUUCUCUCUGUCGCACUUAGUUCGCCUAACACAUGGCCCUCGACGUCCGUCCGUGUGGUCAUGAAACGGCCACCUCCUUCUUUUUGUGGCUGACUAGGACUCCCUGUGGUGUGUAUGCCCCGUGAUCUGCCCAUCCCGCUCUGGACCCUGGGGUGCGCGCGCGUCUUGGCCGUUGCGACUAUGCCGCCGUGAAUGUGGGGAGGGGGCAGAGUCUCCGAAAUCUGGAUUCCAGUGCCCUCAGGGGAAAAAACCCCACUUCGAGCAUGUAAUAGAAUUUCACUGGCACCCUGGACUGAUCUGUCUGUUACCCAGUGACAGCAAACAGCCCCGGGAGGAGCCCUCCCACCCACUGGCUGGACUCCAGAUUCUUGCUGUCUGGGGGGCACGGAUAUCACUGACCGAACCAGCACAAAAAGGUGGCAUUGCCGAGAAAGAUCCCCUCCCAGGAUUCAUGGCUUGAAGACAGCACACUUAAGUGAAGAAGAAGAAAAACCAGAGCUGGCUUGUCCCACGCCUGGCGUGAGCUCUCCGUCUGCACACUAUGAUGCGAAACAGACCACCCACUGAAUCGGACAAGGAGCUCAUCACAGAUUCAGACUUGUUUAGAUCUCCAGGAUGAGAUCUCUCUGACUAGCCCCCAAAUGUAUUUCUAACAGACCCGGAUGUUUGUUGUGACGUUGCCUUAAAAUAGACAAGGAAUGUAAACAGUCUAAGCUUCCCUACCUUCCCUAGGCCUGAAUCCUUGAAUUCAAAAAUCCAAACUUGCACAAUAUUCAAGAAGACGGAAGUAUGGCUGUGCCCCUACUCCCGUCAUACGUCUCUUCUAAACCCAUUCUGAGCCUUGAGGGAUUAGCUAAUGUUGUACGAAACCAUCACAAACUGUAAGAUCUUAACAUGUUGUUUGUUUCCUGGGUACGGAUAUCUUAUAUUUUCUAGGUUGUAAUUUUUGGUGUAUGCUUUAAAAUGUGCAAUUCCCAAAUUGACAAAUAUAUUGUGAGAUUGUCUGCUUAAAAUCUUUUAACAUACGUUUUGCAAUCUUGCCAUAAAAUUGAUGAACCACCAACAUAGACUUUAUUUCUUUGCCUCUCUACCUCCUAAAGAUUUGGAAGGUUAACAUCCCAUUUUCAAUUUUUUAAAAGUUUGUUUUAUUUAUGUUGAGAGAGAGAGAGAGAGAGAGAGAGAGAGCAAGAGGGGGAGGGGUAGAGAGAGAGAGUCCUCAGCAGGUUCUGUGCCGUCAGCGCAGAGCUUGACGUGGGGCUCGAUCUCACCGACCUCAAGAUCAUGACCUGAUCAGAAAUCAAGGGUCUGAUGCUUAACUGACUGAUGCUCUGGGUGCCCUUCCUAGUUUAAUUUUAAUUUUACUAGUGGUGUCCUGUAAAUACUAAAUAAGGAAUUUAAAUCUA